AGGCCCGUAGCUCAAUUUGGCAGAGCGCCGGUCUCCAAAACCGGAAGUUGUGGGUUCGAGUCCCGCCGGGCCUG
rnacentral:tRNA from 1 species